GGCGGACGGGUGAGUAACGCGUAAGGAACUUGCCUCUUGGACUGGGACAACUGUUGGAAACGACAGCUAAUACCGGAUAUUAUGAGAUUCUCGCAUGAGAAACUUAUGAAAGCUAUAUGCGCCAAGAGAGAGCCUUGCGUUCCAUUAGCUAGUUGGUGGGGUAACGGCCCACCAAGGCGACGAUGGAUAGCCGGCCUGAGAGGGUGAACGGCCACAAGGGGACUGAGACACGGCCCUUACUCCUACGGGAGGCAGCAGUGGGGAAUAUUGGACAAUGGGCCACAAGCCUGAUCCAGCAAUUCUGUGUGCACGAUGAAGGUCUUCGGAUUGUAAAGUGCUUUCAGUUGGGAAGAAGAAAGUGACGGUACCAACAGAAGAAGCGACGGCUAAAUACGUGCCAGCAGCCGCGGUAAUACGUAUGUCGCAAGCGUUAUCCGGAUUUAUUGGGCGCAAAGCGCGUCUAGGCGGAAAAAUAAGUCUGAUGUUAAAAUGCGGGGCUCAACUCCGUAUUGCGUUGGAAACUGUUUUUCUAGAGUACUGGAGAGGUGGGCGGAACUACAAGUGUAGAGGUGAAAUUCGUAGAUAUUUGUAGGAAUGCCGAUGGAGAAGUCAGCUCACUGGACAGAUACUGACGCUGAAGCGCGAAAGCGUGGGGAGCAAAC
rnacentral:rRNA from 1 species